GCGUUAUCCGGAUUCACUGGGUUUAAAGGGUGCGUAGGUGGGAAUGUAAGUCAGUGGUGAAAUCUCCGUGCUUAACACGGAAACUGCCAUUGAUACCAUGUUUCUUGAAUCUUCUGGAGGUUAGCGGAAUAUGCCAUGUAGCGGUGAAAUGCUUAGAUAUGACAUAGAACACCAAUUGCGAAGGCAGCUAACUACAGGGGCAUUGACACUGAGGCACGAAAGCGUG
rnacentral:rRNA from 1 species